rnacentral:rRNA from 1 species
CCUACGGGUGGCAGCAGUGAGGAAUAUUGGUCAAUGGACGAGAGUCUGAACCAGCCAAGUAGCGUGAAGGAUGACUGCCCUAUGGGUUGUAAACUUCUUUUAUAUGGGAAUAAAACGUUCCACGUGUGGGAUUUUGUAUGUACCAUAUGACUAAGGAUCGGCUAACUCCGUGCCAGCAGCCGCGGUAAUACGGAGGAUCCGGGCGUUAUCCGGAUUUAUUGGGUUUAAAGGGAGCGUAGGUGGAUUGUUAAGUCAGUUGUGAAAGUUUGCGGCUCAACCGUAAAAUUGCAGUUGAAACUGGCAGUCUUGAGUACAGUAGAGGUGGGCGGAAUUCGUGGGGUAGCGGUGAAAUGCUUAGAUAUCACGAAGAACUCCGAUUGCGAAGGCAGUUCACUGGACUGCAACUGACACUGAGGCUCGAAAGUGUGGGUAUCAAACAGGAUUAGAUACCCGAGUAGUC